rnacentral:rRNA from 1 species
CCUACGGGAGGCAUCAGUGGGGAAUAUUGGACAAUGGGGGGAACCCUGAUCCAGCGACGCCGCGUGAGUGAAGAAGUAUUUCGGUAUGUAAAGCUCUAUCAGCAGGGAAGAAAGAAAUGACGGUACCUGACUAAGAAGCCCCGGCUAACUACGUGCCAGCAGCCGCGGUAAUACGUAGGGGGCAAGCGUUAUCCGGAUUUACUGGGUGUAAAGGGAGCGUAGACGGCGAUGCAAGUCUGAAGUGAAAGGCGGGGGCCCAACCCCCGGACUGCUUUGGAAACUGGAUGGCUGGAGUGAAGGAGAGGUAAGUGGAAUUCCUAGUGUAGCGGUGAAAUGCGUAGAUAUUAGGAGGAACACCAGUGGCGAAGGCGGCUUACUGGACUGUAACUGACGUUGAGGCUCGAAAGCGUGGGGAGCAAACAGGAUUAGAUACCCUAGUAGUC